UUUGAUCCUGGCUCAGAUUGAACGCUGGCGGCAUGCCUAACACAUGCAAGUCGAACGGUAACAGAUAAGAUGAUCUCUUCGGAGUGAAUCUUUGCUGACGAGUGGCGGACGGGUGAGUAAUGCUUGGGAAUCUGCCCAAUAGUGGGGGAAAACUCGGGGAAACCCGGGCUAAUACCGCAUAAUCUCUACGGAGGAAAGAGGGCCUCUACAUGUAAGCUCUCGCUAAUGGAUGAGCCCAAGUCAGAUUAGCUUGUUGGUAGGGUAAAAGCCUACCAAGGCAACGAUCUUUAGCUGGUCUGAGAGGAUGAUCAGCCACAUCGGGACUGAGACACGGCCCGAACUCCUACGGGAGGCAGCAGUGGGGAAUAUUGGACAAUGGGCGCAAGCCUGAUGCAGCAAUGCCGCGUGUGUGAAGAAGGCUCUAGGGUUGUAAAGCACUUUCAAUAGAGAAGAAAAGCUUGAAAUUAAUACUUUCAAGCCUUGACGUAAUCUAUACAAGAAGCACCGGCUAAUUCCGUGCCAGCAGCCGCGGUAAUACGGAGGGUGCAAGCGUUAAUCGGAAUUACUGGGCGUAAAGCGUGCGUAGGCGGUUUAUUAAGUCAGAUGUGAAAGCCCCGGGCUUAACCUGGGAACUGCAUUUGAAACUGGUCAACUAGAGUAUGGUAGAGGAAAGUGGAAUUUCUGGUGUAGCGGUGAAAUGCGUAGAUAUCAGAAGGAACAUCAAUGGCGAAGGCAGCUUUCUGGACCAAUACUGACGCUGAGGUACGAAAGCGUGGGUAGCAAACAGGAUUAGAUACCCUGGUAGUCCACGCCGUAAACGAUGAUAACUAGCCGUUGGGGGGAUUUACCCUUUAGUGGCGAAGCUAACGCGUUAAGUUAUCCGCCUGGGGAGUACGGCCGCAAGGUUAAAACUCAAAGGAAUUGACGGGGACCCGCACAAGCGGUGGAGCAUGUGGUUUAAUUCGAUGCAACGCGAAGAACCUUACCUGGUCUUGACAUACACGGAACUUUCCAGAGAUGGAUUGGUGCCUUCGGGAACCGUGAUACAGGUGCUGCAUGGCUGUCGUCAGCUCGUGUCGUGAGAUGUUGGGUUAAGUCCCGUAACGAGCGCAACCCCUAUCCUUAUUUGCCAGCACGUCAUGGUGGGAACUAUAAGGAGACUGCCGGUGAUAAACCGGAGGAAGGCGGGGACGACGUCAAGUCAUCAUGGCCCUUACGACCAGGGCUACACACGUGCUACAAUGGGAAGAACAAAGAGUUGCGAAGCCGCGAGGUGUAGCUAAUCUCACAAAUCUUUUCGUAGUCCGGAUCGGAGUCUGCAACUCGACUCCGUGAAGUCGGAAUCGCUAGUAAUCGUAGAUCAGAACGCUACGGUGAAUACGUUCCCGGGUCUUGUACACACCGCCCGUCAUACCAUGGGAGCCGACAAGGGCAGAAGUCGCCGAGCUAACCUUCGGGAAGCAGGCGCCCAAGCUGUUGUUGACGACUGGGGUGAAGUC
rnacentral:rRNA from 1 species